AAUAUGUUAUUUUAGCCUUAAAAUUAGCUUUUAAUUAUGAUUGUUGAAAAUAUCAAAUACAUGUAUUGCCAAAUUAGUUUAUAUUUAAAACAAGGAUGUAUAUUUAUCAAUACUUUACAUAUUAAAUUAAUCUUUUAUAGACUUUUAUUAUUAAACAACCAUUUGCUGAAAUGAUCAGUCAGUUACCUUAGCUAAAUUGUUUUCCAAUUAAUACAUUUUAUUCUAAAAAUUCCACAGAAAACAUUCACUAAUCAACUAACACCGUCAAUAGCAGAGAUGUCUUUCUAAACUUUUUAUAUUUGCUUGUAAGUCGCAUAAGGAGAAAUUAAUUUAUAUCCUCAAUAAUGUUGCUUCACAAGUUCUUAAUAGACAGUAAUUCAAAGUCAGAUAAAUAUUUGUAUUCUUUCGAUAUGUUAUUUUCAUUUAUUUUUGCAUUUUAUUAAAUGUACAUGUACUACUUAUGUACGAUAAUAUGCAGUUCAUCGUGAAUAUCCAACUAUUGUGUGUUUUUAUAAUGUACCAAAUGAGUAUUGUACAAAGGUUACCAUUAUUUAGUUGGUUUUGGUAAGAAUAAGUUGUAAUAAAAUUUACAAAAUUC
rnacentral:sRNA from 1 species